GUCUUUUUGUAAUAAAUUUAAAGUCUGACCUGCCCACUGAUGAAUUUUAAAGGGCCGCGGUAUUUUGACCGUGCAAAGGUAGCAUAAUCAUUAGUUUUUUAAUUGAAAGCUUGUAUGAAUGGUUGGACGAAAUAUUUACUGUCUCAUAAAAAUUUGUAUUAGAAAUUAAUUUUUUUGUUAAAAAGCAAAAAUUAUAUUAAAGGACGAGAAGACCCUAUAGAGCUUUAUAAUUUAAUUAUUUAAUUUUUUAAGGAAAUUUUAAAUUUUAUAAAAAUAAUUAUUUUGUUGGGGUGACAAUAAAAUUUAUAAAACUUUUAUUAUAAAUGUUACAUUGAUUAAUGAAUAUUUGAUCCAUUAUUAAUGAUUAAAAAAUUAAGUUACCUUAGGGAUAACAGCGUAAUUUUUUUUAAGAGUUCAUAUCGACAAAAAAGAUUGCGACCUCGAUGUUGGAUUAAGAGUUAUUUUUAGGUGUAGAAGUUUAAAGUUUAGGUCUGUUCGACCUUUGAAUUCUU
rnacentral:rRNA from 1 species